rnacentral:rRNA from 1 species
UACGGGGGGGGCAAGCGUUGUUCGGAAUUACUGGGCGUAAAGGGUGCGUAGGCGGCUUUCUAAGUUGGAUGUGAAAACUAUGGGCUCAACCCAUAGCCUGCAUCCAGAACUGGAGAGCUUGGGUACUGGAGGGGAAAGCGGAAUUCCUGGUGUAGCGGUGAAAUGCGUAGAUAUCAGGAGGAACACCGGUGGCGAAGGCGGUUCUCUGGGCAUGAUCUGACGCUGAGGAGCGAAAGUGUGGGGAGCGAACAGG